ACUCCAGUGCUAUCUCCAAUCCAGGAAAGGGACACUGAGCCACUGAGGUCAUUGAAGACACGCUUGAGAGAUGUUGUUGUCGCCGUCCUUGGUGCGCGCAGGGGUCCUAUUGCUGCUGCUCCUGGCGGCUCCGCUCCACGGCCGGGAGAUUCGGUUCGGGGCGAAGGGGCUGCGUGUCCGGCGGGGGUUACCCGGCGGGGCUGAGCCGGAGACUGGAUGCGGCCCGCAAGGCGAGGGUUUCGGCAAGGAGGUGCUUGUCAACAACACUCACAAGGUGAGAGCAGGGAGUGGCCUUCCUGGCGGACUGAGAGGCCAAGUUUGGGGCAUUGAUGGGCACCGCUGCCUCCGCCAAGGCUCGUGAUUGCAGAGCGGUGGGCUUUGACUUUGGAAAAACCCAACUUCCCGCUGGAGCGAGAGAGAAUCGAGGCAACGAUCUCUCUGCAACACGCGAGGGUAGCUUUGGUGCCUUUGAAGUGAAUCCUCUGAACAGAAUCAACACAUCAGCUGGUUGGUUUUCGCCCUGUUUAUCUUGGGCUGUAGCAUGACACUCGAGCAGAUUGUUUUCUUUUUCUCGUUGGGCAACAUGACACCUACUGUAUGUUUGGGUAUAGAGGUGGACUGUGAUGCAUAUGUGGUAAGACAACCGCACCUUUUAGAUGACAAGGGAGCUGAAAGAUCCGUAAGUUAGUUGGAGGAAGUUAAGUAUAAAGUGCUUAUGUCCUUUCCCUCCUCCUCCUCCUGAUCUAAAGGCUAGUCAUUGCUCUGGUUAGAGAAAUAGUGUGAGAAAAUUGCACUGUUUCCCCUUGACAGAAUAGCAUCCCACAAGAUCGCUUGGAGCUUUUGAAAAUAGGAAACAAUUUAGCUGGUAUGCAAACAUUGAUGAUAUUCAUAAAAUGUAAAGGUUACCUAAAUUCUUAACUAGUCUUUGCUUUGGGGAUCAAAAGUAAUGCAUACUGAUUCUGAGGUUAGCAAUUGUAUGAUCGGGGCAUCCUACAAUAGCAGGGCUAGAAAUGAUUAGCUUGAUUAAAAUAAAAAGUCAAUUCCUACAGAGGGAAGAGUGAUUAAGA